rnacentral:sRNA from 1 species
GUCAACCACCUCCGCGUGAAGGCUGGAGCUUGUGACAACACGCUCCCCAAUUGACCAACCUUAGCCACGUUACGAGGCUAGCUUCGGUCGGUGCCGACUCUGGUGCUUUUCCAGUCCCGGGCUCUCUGGGUCAACGGUAAAAGCGAGCUUGGGGUAGUGCAAUCGGUGCGUUGACGGCUUGUGAUCCCGCUGAAGAGCCAAACCACCUUAGAUGGAAG